UGCGGCCGGUGCUCAGUCGGC
rnacentral:miRNA from 1 species